rnacentral:rRNA from 1 species
AUUGAACGCUGGCGGCAGGCCUAACACAUGCAAGUCGAACGAGUGGCGGACGGGUGAGUAAUGUCUGGGAAACUGCCUGAUGGAGGGGGAUAACUACUGGAAACGGUAGCUAAUACCGCAUACCAUCAGAUGUGCCCAGAUGGGAUUAGCUUGUUGGUAGGGUAACGGCUAACCAAGGCGACGAUCCCUCGCUGGUCUGAGAGGAUGACCAGCCACACUGGAACUGAGACGCGGUCCAGACUCCUACGUGAGGCAGCAGUUGGGAAUAUUGCACAAUGGGCGCAAGCCUUAUCCAGCCAUGCCGCGUGUGUGAAGAAGGUCUUCGGAUUGUAAAGCACUUUAAGAUGGGAGGCGUUACCAACAGAAUAAGCACCGGCUAGCUUCGUGCCAGCCGCCGCGGUAAUUC